ensembl:lncRNA
CUUUCUGUUGACCGUCGCCAUCAUCAUCAUCAUCUUCUGUUAUUGCACUGUCUGAGGUCCCGUUGUGACUCAUAUUCAGAAGCCGCCCAGUGAUCAGUGACUCAGGGGUUCCUUAAACUCCUCUGAUUAGCUCUUAUUGUGUAUGCCAGCGGGUCGCUGGUUCUAAUCAGGUGGUCUUUGGUCAGCUCUGCAUCUGGGACUAAUCGGGCUGUGGUUUAACCCCUUCCUACCAGCACUUUAAUGUCUGCACCACCAAACUGGUGAUGUCAUCACCCUUCUUUUACCUCUUUUUCCCAGGCGUGUUUGUGAGUCAUUAUCAGACGGGUGAGGGCAGAAGAACAGAAGACACACAGACAUCAGAGCACCAGGAGGAACAGCAUGUGACCCAG